rnacentral:rRNA from 1 species
UACGUAGGUGACAAGCGUUGUCCGGAUUUACUGGGCGUAAAGAGCGCGCAGGCGGUCGUUCAAGUCGAGUGUGAAAGCCCCCGGCUCAACUGGGGAGGGUCAUUCGAUACUGAUCGACUCGAAGGCAGGAGAGGGUAGUGGAAUUCCUGGUGUAGCGGUGAAAUGCGCAGAUAUCAGGAGGAACACCGGUGGCGAAGGCGGUUCUCUGGGCAUGAUCUGACGCUGAGGAGCGAAAGUGUGGGGAGCGAACAGG